rnacentral:lncRNA from 1 species
AACUGUAGCAACUCGACCGAAUAGGUCAUAAGUAUAGGAUAUGAAACUCGACCAAUCAUGUCACAAGUAUAGGAUAUGAAACUCGACCAAUCAUGUCACAAGUAUAGGAUAUGAACUCGACCAAUCAUGUCACAAGUAUAGGAUAUGAACUCGACCAAUCAUGUCACAGAUAUCAUAUGCUGAUGAAAUCUACUCUACUCCUACACAAGGUACUAAACAUGGAAACAACCGAGUAGAGUAAAUAUGAAAAUAAUAUGGGUGCAAGGCUCAAUAUGUAUAUGCACACAAAUAAUAGUAAGAGGGCAAGGGUAAGAAACCAUCACCGAACGUGCACCACUGUACCGACG